GGGGACCAGGAGGAAGAGUUUCUUCGAGACCUGGUGGUUGAAGAGCAGUGGAUCAUUCUUGGCUGUGGUGGGAGAGGUGCUGAACGUUGUUCACGCUGGCUAUGUCAUGAGUGGAAUCUAUGGCGUCAAGGCUAGGUGCUUCCAAGACCAAGAUAACCAGGCAAUCAUAGUAGAUGCAUCAAUGCACCCUUGCCCAAGGGCCUAGACAAGAGGUAUUGUUUAGCUUCGCAUGAAUUUUAUCACCUUGCCUAGAACCAGCCACCAUCUGCCAGGGCUCCUGACUUUUUCUGAAAUGAAUAGACACUAAAGCCUGCUGGGGAAUUUCAUGGAAAUCAAGAUGACUCAACCCAGAGUCCAUUUCAAGGCUAGGAUGCUAGAGGACGCCAACAAAGGAGUAGGGAAGUGAAACGGAUCAGCUCACAUCCAAGCCCUUGCAUGAUCAAUCCUGCAGUAGGAGUGCUGCUCAGUUGGGACUCAUGAGAGCCCGGAAGAGGAAAAAGCAGCUCUAAGCAUAGCAAAGAAGCUGUUAUGGAAAAGACCCAAAUGUUAAAAUGGUGGACAUAGUAAAGUGAUUGGUUCUGCUUAGGGGAAUCUAGAUCCCCACAUUUUGACCUCCACUGGAGUCUCAGAAGAACAAGUGCCAGGGGGGCUUGCCACAGAGGCCAAGGCAGUGAAUGUCAGGCACAUCACAGUCCCCAAGAUGGGGAGAAGACUGAGAUGCAGGGUAACAACUGCAAUCCAUUCAUGGGAGCCAUGUUUAUCUUAAAUCAUUGACAGUGAGAUAAGGAUCAUGUCAGCCUUCAUACCUUUGAUGAUGAUCCCAGGCUGCAACAGUGACACAUAGAACUGGAUUCAGUAACUAACUACAGAUUCCAUCAACCAGGACUAGUAAAGUGAAAGGCAGAAAUUGGGAGGAGGGGUUUCUUUCUUGCUUAUAAAACUUUAUUUGGUUGUGUUGAGUAUGUGCAUGUAUGUAUGAAAUCCCAUAAAGCAGUCUUCUUAGGAACAAGCCAACAUGCCACAAUGUAGGAGAUCUUUGGAGCACUGGCCUAAAUGGCAGAGAGCUCAAGGGACUCUGCUUUGUACAAGGCAUGAUUUGUACCACCACCACUAUCCCUGUUUCAGAGCACUGUUGAAUUGUUCCAAACCUGGAUUUCUAUGUCAGCUCCCUGUCUAUAGUACUUGACUGAUAAAUGCUAGUUUCUGAAAUCUGCUUU
rnacentral:lncRNA from 1 species